UCCAGCGCCGAAAGUACUUGGUGGGCAACUGCCUGGGAUCCCAUACCGAACACAGAAGUAAAGUCUUCCAGCGCCGAAAGUACUUGGUGGGCAACUGCCUGGGAGGAUAGGACAUUGCGGGAC
rnacentral:rRNA from 1 species